AGUCUCACCCAGAAAAACUCGAUUGUUUUAUUGAUUACCUGCUUCCCCUGCUGCUGUGUCCAUCCACUGUGAAGAUCAUGGUGCACCUGGCAGCUGUGGAAAGCAUCUGGACAUGCACCCCUAAGGUGGGAGGUGAUGCAUCCAAGUGAUGAGCUGUAAGGCUGGGCCCUG
rnacentral:lncRNA from 1 species